AUUAUUUUGGCAGAAAAGUGUGAUGAAUUUAGAAUUCAUUAAUGUAAAUUUUAUUUUACAAAUAAUA
rnacentral:tRNA from 1 species